rnacentral:rRNA from 1 species
GACGAACGCUGGCGGCGUGCCUAAUACAUGCAAGUAGAACGCUGAAGGAGGAGCUUGCUUCUCUGGAUGAGUUGCGAACGGGUGAGUAACGCGUAGGUAACCUGCCUGGUAGCGGGGGAUAACUAUUGGAAACGAUAGCUAAUACCGCAUAAUAGUAGAUGUUGCAUGACAUUUGCUUAAAAGGUGCAAUUGCAUCACUACCAGAUGGACCUGCGUUGUAUUAGCUAGUUGGUGAGGUAACGGCUCACCAAGGCGACGAUACAUAGCCGACCUGAGAGGGUGAUCGGCCACACUGGGACUGGGACACGGCCCAGACUCCUACGGGAGGCAGCAGUAGGGAAUCUUCGGCAAUGGACGGAAGUCUGACCGAGCAACGCCGCGUGAGUGAAGAAGGGUUUCGGAUCGUAAAGCUCUGUUGUAAGAGAAGAACGAGUGUGAGAGUGGAAAGUUCACACUGUGACGGUAUCUUACCAGAAAGGGACGGCUAACUACGUG